CUAGGGUGACAAUGGCCCAGCGCUGGACUGGGACGUAGUGACGGUCCAUCAGCGCUCUGCCUUCCAGCUAGAUGUUGUCAUUGCAGCAGAUGUGCUGUAUUGCCCAGAAGCCAUUGUGUCACUGGUCAGGGUCCUGCGGAGGCUGGCUGCCUGCCGGGAGCACCAGCGGGCUUCUGAGGUCUACGUGGCCUUCGCUGUCCGCAAUUGAGAGACGUGCCAGCUGUUCACCACCGAGCUAGAAAGUUCCCCUAAAGCCCUGAGGAAUCACCGAAUGAAAGGGGCUUUUUACAAACAGGAAACUUAAGUGGAGUGCCAAUACACAACAUGGAUUGCAGCAGGCUCGGUCUAAGAUAAAACCAGACGGUGGACAACAGGCCAGGUUUUUGCUUGUCUGAUGACUGAUGGCUCCACCCAGACCUGCCAACCACUCCCGCGGCCCCAUCCAGAAGUGGCUCAGCGUGCAUGAGGACCAUCUCCAACAUCCCUGUGAUUGUACCCCCAACCAACCAGCAGCAAGAACCUAUUGCCUAGUCACCUCCCCUCUCUUUCCCCAACUAUCAUUGAAAAAGUCUGGCUU
rnacentral:lncRNA from 1 species